GGGGUUGUGGCUCAGUGGUAGAGCUCGCCUAGCACAUGCGAGGCCCUCGGCUCGAUCCUCGGAACCACA
rnacentral:tRNA from 1 species